CAAAUACCUAAAUUUAGCACCCAAGUACAAAAUGUAUGGCAUGUGUAUUUGUGUGUAGCGACACAGAGUGAUUUUUUGUCGUUGUUGUUGUAGAUGUUGAACGGGGGAGGAAGAGGGCAUCAAACGAAGAAUAAAAAAAAAUGUAUAUCAAGUCAAAAACGAUAUUCGAAUCAAUAUCAAAUUUCAACGAUGACGUCGCAACAGUGACAACAAUUUGAUUACGAUCGAUACAGUUACAUUUUAGUAGUUUAGUGUGAUGAUUACAAUUUAUUAGAGGAAAAAUGCAGCAUAUUAACCGUUGUUGUCGUCGUCGUCGUCGUCGUAAUAGUCAUAGUUGUAGCCGAUUGCGAUUGCGAGACAGCACACCAGCACCAGAAACAGCACCAAAAGUCGAAACCAAAUGCUAUGUAUAUACGCACAUAGACAUAAACAUCUCUUGCUGAAAUCUAUGUCUAUUUAUUCAAAUGACGACCGCUGAAUAGAACCGAAGAGCUUCCGAUCGAAGGUUCGAACGAACAGAACAGAAAAAAAAGAACAACAACAUACAGAAUUUGUGUGUGUCUCUCGCUCCAUUCACAUACAACGACGGGCACGAGUGAUAAAUUUCCACUGUUAUAACAGCAGCAAAAUACACACACACCAAUACCAACCAACUCCAUUUGGAUGUGUCUGGAUGGCUGGUUGAUUUAGCAGAACUAUGACAACACACUGAAAUAUCCGAACGAAGAAAAUAUCCAUGCCAAUACUCGCUGCUAAAUCGAAGGAUUUGGUCUUCUUCUCGAGAAAUUGACGCAACAAAAAAUCAUCAUCUUUCGAGAAUGAGAAAAAUAAUUCCUUUGCGUUCUGGAAUGUGUGGCAGUUUUUGGGGCUAAAGGUUAGAGGUGAACACCAUCACAUAUGAUAAGCUAUCAGUUUAGGAGUCAGUUUCAUUUGCUUGAAUUUCUGCAUGGGUUCCUCUUUCUCACUUCGAUCUGUGCGACACAAGAUGUUUCGGCAUUUUCGUGAUUAGCGAUCGAUAUCGGAUGGGAAAAUGGACAUUCGGGCACGACUCAAUGCGAUUCGUUGCCGAUCAUUCGCACUAUGUAACAUAUUUGCGUCAGUUUCUGCGCGUGUAUAUGUAUAUGAGUGUCAAAUUAGGUGCAUGUGUUUGUAUAUGGCGAAAAUUGGUGCGGCUGAUGUUGAUGUGCCGUACGUCGUAAUAUAACUAAAUAUACACAGAUCUGGGGAAAAUAUGUGGACACGACUUCGAAAAUAUCUUCAUCUUACUCUCUUUCCGUCGUCUGUACUUGUGUCUGUUUGGCAUGGCUUUUGGACCCAAUCUUAUUGUAACAAAACUAUGAACCGAUCACACUCUCUUUCUCUCUCUCUCUCUUUCUCUCUCUCUCUCUUCCGGUAUCUCUCUGAGAAUGAAUAAAGUUGUGUCGGCAAAAAUCGUCGUGGUGAAUAACCUAAUUUAAAUGACGAAAUCAAAUAACCAUGAAUACAAUGGGGCAAUUCUCUGUUUUUUUUUCAUUCAUUCAUUUGCCCGGUCAAAUUAUUUUCCUUUUCAUUGCGAAUCCAAUUUACUCCGGGGAUGCCAUUUUCAGCCAUGUUGAUGUCGUGUGUUGUGUCCAGACAGCCACAAUCAAUUACAUAGCGCGCUGCACUGAAAUUUCGUGGUUAUGUUAUGUUAUGACUGUAUGACAUAACAUGCAUUACGUUUUCUCGCUCUCAUCAAACAAAAAAAAUGCUAAAAUUACAAGACUUGUGUGUGUUCGUUUGAAUGGAUUUCUAGAAUGAUUUGAUCAUUCUGCAUUUCGAAAUGAUGUGAUUUUGACAUUUCAAAGAGAAAAGUAAAUGAAAACAGAAAAUACGACUGAAAAUCGAUGAACCAAGAAUCUUACAUAAUGAACUCAUUUUGUU